CUGCUCCUCAAAAGAGGCCAUACUUGAAAAUGGUAACAUAGCCACUCCAAGCGCUACUGUGUGGACAGAUCUGAGUGACCAGUUGGAAAAGAAGAUGUCUGCAAAGGCUCUGUACACCUUUGUAAAAACAAACAGACACAAUAUCUGGUCAGCUCUGGGAUUCAGUCAUGAUGAAACUGAUCCUGAAACUAGCAGUGAAGCAAGCUCGGAAUCAGGCCCUGAACGGUCAUUUCAGCUUCAUAUUCCUUUUGACAAGUGGAUGGAAUUUAUUCCGGAAAAGGCUGAAUACAAAGAUAAGAACUGUCGAACCCAAAAAAGAGAAUAUACAAUUUUGAAGCCUGGCACCUGGAACCACAUCAUAAAUGAACAAAUCUGGAAAACAGUCACAAUUCCUUGCACAUUUGUUUUUAAAAGAGCCAAGGUCUAUCCAUUGGUCUCAAAUAAUUAUAUCAAAAUCAGAGGAUACUGCAAGGAGUGUCAUGGCCUUCUCAACAUUAAUUGUGGCGGAGAGCCAGAAAUUAACAGCCCAAUAAUAUUGAACUGUUUCAUUAAGAACAGUGAUGACUCCCUACACACUGGUAGCUCAAAGCGGUUUCUAUCUGGACAGUUGCGUGUGCAGGUAGCCAAGGAACUUUGUGAGGGCAGGAUGGAACCACAUGUAUGGCGA